AUGUUGUUUGAUGGAUUUCAUAGUGCAGGCAUAUUAGUCGAUAAAGGUGGAAUGGUGAAUCUAGUGUUAAUUACUGCAAGAGUUGCAUGUGCCAUAAUGGAAAUGAAACAUGGUAACUAUGUAUUGUUGUUGGUAUGCCAAGGACAUGAUCUGAUAAACAUAUGUUGCGUGCAAAUGUAUUUGGAUGAUAAGAAAAGUAGUUAAGGUAUCUACCAUUGAUUGAUACUGUUUACAAUAAUAGCUACCACUCGAGUAUUAGAGAAUGUUGGAAACCCUUAUGCUUAACCAAAGUAGGGAAGAACUUGAAUAUAAAGCUGAAAGCGACCCAAUAAACAUCUAAGCAAGUGGAAUUGCUUGAUGUGGAGCCGAAGUAAACACAUCACCAUCGAAUGAUAGUAAUGACAAGUGAUGUAUGGAUUUAGAAUAUGCAUAGGGAUGCAUGUUUUUUGAGGAUGAGACAUUUUUUAUGAAUUGAUUUGGAUUAUAAGUUACAGGUGUUGGGUUAUGGUACUUGAGAUCGUUUGAUUGUGAGAGGAUGGAUGUUGUGUCAUGUCGGUUGGAAUUCCACAACGAAUCUCUGAGUUCGCAAUGUGCAUGUGCAGUAUAUCGUAAGGUUGUCAUAGGACAUGAGUUGCUUGUUUAAAAGCCAUCAUUAGAUGGGUGUCAUAGUUUAUUAAUGGUCAACAGACGUGUUGAGUUUGUAAACUGCAAAGAAACAUUAGUUAAUGGGACAAUGACGUGUGGACUGUCUUAGUUCGAUGGGAAAGUGAUGUGAUUUCAAAUGUCGUUUGGAUAACAAUAAGGAUCAGUAACCCAAGUUAGUUAUGGGAGCCAGUGUAUCACCAAGUGCCGAUUUGUUUUUGAAAAAGCAAUGCACCAUAGUGCCGAAUUGAAUCCAAAGAGGAAUUCUCUGUAAGUGGAGGAGAAUUGCAACAUGGCUAGCCCACUAGAGAAUUAAAGCCCAAAAGAGAAACCCCUAAGAUUUUCCUCCUUCUCCUUUUAUCAUCAGAGAAAACAGAGCUAAGCCGUGCAGAUAUUCCGAGCCGUCAAGACCUAAACCCUAGCCGCCACCGUUGGUGUCUCCGAUCUGCCACCGCAAGCCCGCCUUCGCGCUUUGUGAAGGGUGCUGGUUGGGCGAACGCCGGUUGGGUGGAGAGUGAUGAAGCCGGGUGUCCAGGCGGUUGGCUUGGGUACACUUGUGGAUUAGAGAGUCUAGGAAAUCUUGUUUGAUGCAUUAUAGGCGAUAUUAACUUAUGAUUUGUUCUUGUUGUAUUAUGUGAUCUGAGAUGAGUUCAUAGGUUCAUAUACUUACUAAGUAAACCGAAUUACUCGCCCCUCAUUCUUUAAAGUCCCGUUGUGGUGUCAAUGCUUUUGGGAAGACACAUGUUUUAUUUCAAAAUUUUCGUUGAGCUUUGGUAAGACUUUAGUAUUGUUUUA